UCGAGAAUUUUUCUCAAUGGGGGCAACCCUGAAGGAGCGACGCCGCGUGGAGGAUGAAGGUCUUCGGAUUGUAAACUCCUGUCAUUAGAGAACAAAGCCGGGCGUUAACUGCGACCCGGUUUGAUAGUACCUGAAGAGGAAGAGACGGCUAACUCUGUGCCAGCAGCCGCGGUAAUACAGAGGUCUCGAGCGUUGUUCGGAUUCAUUGGGCGUAAAGGGUGCGUAGGCGGCGGGGCAAGUCUGAUGUGAAAUCCCGGGGCUCAACCCCGGAACUGCAUUGGAUACUGCCCUGCUCGAGUACUGGAGAGGAGACUGGAAUUUACGGUGUAGCAGUGAAAUGCGUAGAGAUCGUAAGGAAGACCAGUGGCGAAGGCGAGUCUCUGGACAGUUACUGACGCUGAGGCACGAAGGCCAGGGGAGCAAACGGGAUUAGAUACCCCCGUAGUCC
rnacentral:rRNA from 1 species